rnacentral:rRNA from 1 species
AUUGAACGCUGGCGGCAUGCCUUACACAUGCAAGUCGAACGGCAGCACGGGUGCUUGCACCUGGUGGCGAGUGGCGAACGGGUGAGUAAUACAUCGGAACGUACCUUAUCGUGAGGGAUAACGCAGCGAAAGUUGCGCUAAUACCGCAUACGCCCUGAGGGGGAAAGCGGGGGACCGUAAGGCCUCGCGCGAUUAGAGCGGCCGAUGUCUGAUUAGCUUGUUGGUGAGGUAAAAGCUCACCAAGGCGAUGAUCAGUAGCUGGUCUGAGAGGACGAGCAGCCACACUGGGACUGAGACACGGCCCAGGCUCCUACGGGAGGCAGCAUGGGGGAAUUUUGGACAAUGGGGGCAACCCUGAUCCAGCAAUGCCGCGUGAGUGAAGAAGGCCUUCGGGUUGUAAAGCUCUUUUGUCAGGGAAGAAACAGCAGCUCUAACACAGUCUGCGAAUGACGGUACCUGAAGAAUAAGCACCGGCUAACUACGUGCCAGCAGCCGCGGUAA